CAAUAUUGUUUCUUAAAAUUUAGGAACAAGUAACGAGGGGGUGAAAAAGUCUUGACGAGAUACAUUAAUCGAGGGAUGGAUAUUGUUGGGACAAAUAGCUACAUUCAGAUUGAAGAGACUGAUGUAGAAGAAACAAGAUGUGGAUAACUCCUCUGACUAAGAUGUAAGAGGAAACAGGUUGAUAACUCCACUAAUAAGAUGAAAGUGGACGAGGAUACUAUCUUUUUAGAUGACUAAGACCUGCUUGAAUGAUUUCUUAGUGUGAUUUAAUCAUAUAAAGUGCUGGGUUUGCUUUAUGUUUGCCUAUGGAUAAACACAUAUAGGCAAACAUAAUAUGUGCUGAUUAUAUAAUACAUCUAGGAUGUACAAGUGUGUUCUCUGAUUGUGAGCCUGCCCUAUAAGUAUAAUUAUGUACGAUAUUACUUGGGUGUGAUUUAACUUUCUGGUUGUGUGUCUAUCUUACACAUUGAAUGCUAUAGUACCUAUAAUGGUGGCUUAGUUGUUCCACUUAAUGCUCUCCUAAGAAACUGAUAUCUUGUAAUGGGUGUAGUGGCAGUAGUGCUCCCAAAGUUAGCCUCUGUUUGAGGCCCUUUUUUGGGGGGAAACAGAUUUUGUAAUAGUGAUUUUUUUGGAGAAUAUAUGGUUAAAAAGUAAGGAAAAGUUUUGGGUUACAUGCAAAAUUAUUUUAUUGGAAGCAUGUGUGGUUGAAAAUGAGUUUGAGGAAAAAUGAAUUUUUAGAUAAUGAGGC
rnacentral:lncRNA from 1 species